UACCUAAAACUAGACACAAAACAACCACAAAAAGAUGUCACCCAACCAAAAUGAAACCAAACAACCAGAUUAGCCUCAUCGUGGGUGGAGUCGUCAUAGCGCAGCGAGCCGAAAGUCCCUUAACGUCAUUUGCGUGCGACACAAACGCAACAUAACGGAGACGAUGGUACACCUGCUGCUCGGUCUGUGGCUUUCUGUCAGAUUCAGAGUAAUAGAAGAGUCGGAGAAAGCUGAGAGCGGCGAGUCGGAACACUCAGGAGACACACAGGAGAGUUUGGGAGGUGAUGCAGCAGUAUCAAGCUGAAGACAAGAGGAUAUGAACGAGACGACAUAUGAGGAUGCUCUCUGAUGAGACUUCAUGGGAUUUACCUGAAGCAGCAGCACAUGAGCCUGCAGUGGCACAAGGUGUAGAGGAGGAGGACAGAGAUGUACAGGAUGCACUGAUGUAUACGUGUCAUGCAAAAGUUAAAAGUUAUUCUUCUUGUUAUACUUCUGUUUUUCUGUCCCCGGACCGCUAUUGUUUUCUUUAAUGCAAUUCUGACAAUAAACUUUUGUACCUUUUGCA